AAAUAUGUUUUCCCAGAGUUGUCACAGAUGGGGCUGAUAGGCUCAGCUUCAACCAGCAGUGGACAGAGCUGGCUGUGUCCAGCACAGGGCAGCCCCUGGCCCCUUCCUACAGGGGUCACCCCUAGAGACAGCCCCUUCCCACACUACUAAAAUCUUGCCACCUAAAUCCAGUAGAUGUAUUCGGUCUGUUACUGUAGACAUCCUCGCCAGGGCCCUCAGUGUACCACAACCUGGCAUUAAUUACUUGACAAGCCUCAUCCAGGAGCUCCUUGUAAACUCAAGCCUGCCCAUCUACUCUUCUUCUGAGCUAUGCCACUGGUGUACGUGGCUACAGGCCUGUUCCUGCCUCAUCUCUAGCAGGCCCCAGACAGACUGUGCACCUGGUUUGCAGCCUCCUUGUAUCUGGGGCUGUUCAGUGGAACCUGUUACCAGCACCUGGCUGUGUUUGGAUGCUUUGGGACUGUGACCCAGAAGAAGAAAAAAAGCAGAUGAACUAUAAACAACAGUAUCCCAAGUCUCAAAAGCUAAAAGAAAUACAAACAACUGGUGGGUGGCCUGAUAUCAGUUUGAGGUGAGCAACAAAGGAAACUGCUGGAACAAUCAGCCCAGACAGCGAAACACAGGUUAAAAAUAUUGGAAGUCAUGAAGAUAUCUGAUUCCCACUGUCAAAUGCAACUUUUGUGAUUUGAUGCUGUUGCUUGAAGCCCAGUGUUAGCUGAAUGGAGUCUUGGGUACAGCUGUGGGAGCACUAGAGGAAUGAAGCUUGUUUGAGCUGCUGCUGCUGUGUGGUGCCCGUGAAGCAGAGGACUCUUGUGGUACAGCAGAUGUCCUCCAUGAGAAGAAAGAGAUGGGAGGGAGGAUUGGAAUUGAAAGAUAAUCUGGCACAGGAGGAUGGGACAUUUGCAAACUGUGUCAGCAGCACCUGCCAGGAGGUGAUCCUGGAAUGGCACGAUGUGGUAACGCUGGGCAGAAACGAGGAUGGGAAAGGAAAUCUGGGAUGUUCUCUCUCAAGCAUCUUACUUUGGAAUUUAAAAGCCCAUUUUACAGUACAUGAGAAUUAAGGCAUAUUGUUAUGACAGUUCAGUUUUCCUGACAUGAUGUAUCUCAAUGGAAUACGUGUUAUGGCCCUCCUUUCUUGCGUGCUUGGGAUUGUAGUCCCCCAGUCUGUCAUUUGGGUGGCAGACUGGCUUAGGUGUUACUACACCUCCUUUCAGGUGGUCUUACCUUUUAUGUCUCAAAGUGUCCUUUCAGCUGCAGUGUGGCCAUGUUGUGAACCUGCCCUGGUCUCUCCUAAAUAGAGACUUUUAAAGACCAGAUCAGCUUGUAACGGAACCGCACAAACGUUUACCCAGACGUAGCUAGCUGGGCUGUGCGAAUGAGCGCUGGGGCAUGAGCUGCGACGGGGAUCCUGGCAAUACCUGAAGUCAGGAUUGUUGUGAAAAGCUUUGCAGUGGAAAACUUCAGCUCUUGCUGUGGGCUAUGGAAGUACUAUUUUUAUAUAAGGAAUCUAAAGUAAAGAGGGGCUAAGGACUCUUGUA